GUUUCCCCACCUUCGCCCCGCCCCCUCCCCCGGGUUGGACCUACCUCUAAUCACUCUCUGUCCUCGCCUCCAACGUUGCUUUGGAGAACUGGCAGUCAAGGCUCACCCUCCCGCCUCCGGAAAGCGAACUUUAUUUUUAUUGGUAGAAAGACAUCUUCCUGUGUACCUGAUUGGGCAAGGAAGGGCAAGUCUGCACGCCCCUUACCUAUUAUCACUCUCCCUGGACGGCUGAGAGAAAGGCUGCCAGAAAGUCUUCCCUACUUUGGCUUCCUCUAAGCGCCUUUCCCUUUAAAUGUUGGUAGGGGUCGAGCACAAACAGCCUAUACUGAAGAAAGCGGGAAAGGGAGACGGGAAGGAUGCAAAAAUCUUCAGAUGGGGAAGGAACACUUCGCACUAGCUGUGGGAUCCUGAGAACCCAACCCGGCUGUCUCCGAAACGGCGUGAGCACACCUGAAAUCCUAGUACUGACUCCUGAGAAUUUACCAAGUUCGCUCUCCCUGUCCACUCUGCUCACAGCCUUGAAUCUCUGGCUUUGAGCACCCGGAAGAGUUUAUGAAGACAAGGUCUCACUUUGUCGCCCUGGCUGACCUGGAACUGACUGUGAAGAAGAUCAUCCAUCUUCGAACUCAGAGAUCCCUCAGCUUCUGCCUGCUGCAUACUGGAUUGAAGGAGUGAGCCACUAUGCCCACCCAGCACAAACAUUACUUUGACACCUGAGCUGCUUCUGUGGCCCUUUUGACCUAUCUCAAAACGAGCUAAAGGAGGUCAGAAGACUCCCCUUGGAUUCAUGGGACUGGAGUUACAGAUGGUUGGUGCUGCCAUGCGGGUGCUGAGAACUGAACCCAGGUCCUCUGCCAGAGCAGCCAGCUCUCUUAACUGCUGAGCCAUCUCUCAGCCCUGCUCCUGAGGCUUUUGCAGAGAAUUACAUUCUAAAGAAAGCCACUAUGUGAAAAUGCUAAUAGAAAGAAGAAAUAAACCACAGAUUCCUUAUUAGCUGUCUGACUGAAUAUCCAAGAUGGAAUUCUGACAUAACCAUUUAACUUAAAGAUGCAAACAGUAUCAUACAAAGAAUGCCUGAGCCCAAUUCAGUCCCUUUUGUCUACCCUGACAUGAAAAUACCUCUCAAUCCAGCACCUCAAAGCAUAUGCAAUAGAUAAGUUUUGGAUUUUUAAAAUUAAAUUACUUGAAAGACUGAA